rnacentral:sRNA from 1 species
CGAUAUUCAGAAGCAAUAACAAACCCGAACGAGGCGGACGUGUGAUGCUCGGUGCGCUUAAUUGUGAAUUGAAAUCGUUGUCGCCUGGUUUAUGUGUGCGCUGGUUUAAAUUUCGCGCCGUCGUCUCAACGCAACCCCAACUGCAAUACAGUCUCUCCCCGCCCCUGCCGCCCCCUAAAUAAAACAAAUUUAAACUAAAACAAGAAAAA